rnacentral:tRNA from 1 species
GCCUGGGUGGCUCAGUUGGUUAAGUGACCGACUUCAGCUCAGGUCAUGAUCUCACGGUUUGUGAGUUCGAGCCCCACCUCGGGCU